CACCUGGUGAGUCUUCGUGUUCCUUGAGGAGUGGAGUCCUGUGACCAAAUUAUUCUGCUCUGCGGAAUUUAGAAUUUCAGCUGAUGAUGGGGCAGAUCCUGACUGUGAAUGUGUGAAGCAGUGGAAGACACCUGUGAGAUCCUAGCUGUGUCCCCAAGGUCAGAAUCAAGGACUUCAAGCAACUCGUAGAGUGAUAAUGGAAAUUACUGCUGAACCCAGCUCCACAGCAGCCAUGUCACUGGCACAUGCGAAGGGAGAAAAGUCCUUAUUCCAGCAGGAAAGAUCGAAAAAGAAAGAACCAACAGCUUGAAAUUCUACAAUGAAAGAGGAGGGAGAUUUCAAAGGAACCCGAAGAAAACUUGCAUCUAGCUCAGUGAGAAUGCCUUAGGUCUGGACUUCACCUAUUUCUUUGCAGAAAACAACUUAGUGCUGCAACUGUAACAACUACUUUAAACAAAGGGACUACUAAAAUUUGCUUUAUCAUCAGAAGGCAAUGACUGGCCGCCAGGAAGCGCAGGAAGCAGUGGGGUGC